rnacentral:rRNA from 1 species
GGCUCAGGACGAACGCUGGCGGCGCGCCUAAUACAUGCAAGUCGAGCGAGAAGGUGUAGCAAUACACUUGUAAAGCGGCGAACGGGUGAGGAAUACAUGGGUAAUCUACCAUCGAGUGGGGAAUAACCAGCCGAAAGGUUGGCUAAUACCGCGUACGCUUCCCGGACUGCGGUUCGGGAAGGAAAGCGAUACCGUGGGUAUCGCGCUCUUGGAUGGGCUCAUGCCCUAUCAGCUUGUUGGUGAGGUAACGGCUCACCAAGGCAUCGACGAGUAGCUGAUCUGAGAGGAUGAUCAGCCACACUGGCACUGCGACACGGGCCAGACUCCUACGGGAGGCAGCAGUAAGGAAUAUUGCGCAAUGGGCGAAAGCCUGACGCAGCGACGCCGCGUGGGGGAUGAAGGUCUUCGGAUUGUAAACCCCUUUCGGGAGGGAAGAUGGGAUGGGUAACCAUUCGGACGGUACCUCCAGAAGCAGUCACGGCUAACUUCGUGCCAGCAGCCGCGGUAAUACGAAGGUGGCAAGCGUUAUUCGGAUUUACUGGGCGUACAGGGAGCGUAGGCGGUUUGGUAAGCCCUCUGUGAAAUCUCCAGGCUUAACCUGGAAAAGUCGGAGGGGACUGCUGGGCUAGAGGACGGGAGAGGAGCGCGGAAUUCCCGGUGUAGCGGUGAAAUGCGUAGAGA